UGGAAAUUUUAAAUUUAAUUUUAAUAUAUGAAAUUUGAUAUUUGCUUCCGGGUUUAAAAGUUUGUCCGGAAAGAAAGAAGAAAUAGCCAGUCUUGGAUUACGACUGUUUUAUCUCUUCUAAUUGCUUAUUGCUUUACUUAUUUUGGUUAUUCUAAUUCUAUGAUUGUUUUUCAUUAUAGCUAGUGAGAAUGGGUUCAAAGCUGAGCAGUCGGAUGAACCUGUGAAGGAGCAAAAGGAGGCUUUGCUGCAAAAUGAGGUUACCAAACAAGCAGAGGAUGGUACUGCUCAAGCAACAGUAAAACAUCAACAAGUUGAAGGAACAACAGAGGAAACUGAGCAACAAUCUACUGAUAAUCAUGCGACUACUGAUGCUGAGUUAGGUAAAGAUGAGAAAUUUGAGGCAGAUGAUGGUCAGGAACCGGAUAAAGUUGAGAAUUUUGAGGCAGAUGGUAGCCAGGAACUGCCUACUAACGAGGAGAGUAAGCAACCUUCUGAUGAGGUUCCUCAACAGGAAGUUGAUGAUGGUUCAACUAUUACUUGCAGAAUUGAGGUUCCUAAUGCUAAGGUUGGUGUUCUCAUAGGAAAGGCAGGGGAUGCUAUAAGGUACCUGCAAUACAAGUCUGCAGCAAAAAUUCAAAUUACAAGGGAUGCGGAUGCUGAUUGAGUUGCCCCAACAAGGCCUUUAGAAAUAAUAGGGACUUUGAAUAGCAUAAUCAAGGGCGAGAAGCUUGUAAAUGCUGUCAUAGUAGAGGCUGAUGCUGGGGGUUCCCCUUCCCUUGUAGCUAGGGGCCUUGCUACCACACAGGCUGCUGGGGAUGCUGAUCAUAUUGAGAUUCAAGUUCCUAAUGAGAAGGUUGGUUUAAUCAUUGGUAAAGGUGGGGAGACUAUCAGAGGAGUGCAGACUAGGUCAGGGGCUCACAUUCAGGCCAAGAAUGAGAGGGGGGGAGACAUUGUUGACGAUCUCUUUGUUCAACAACGUUAUGGAUGCACUCAUGUUCGAUGCAUGCCAUUUCUUGUUCGGUUAUUAGGUGAAGAGAAAAACAUUUUCAUUCAUUUGUUCGUGACAGACAUGUUUGGGGUUAAGUUAUAUAUUGAUGGAUUGACAGACAUGUUUGGGGUUAAAUUAUAUAUUGAUGGAUUUACUUUGCAUCUACCUUUCUCGAACAGAAGUUGUGCUUUUGAUUACUGCUACAUGGUAUUUAUUGCUAAUGAGUUCAGCUUCUUUAGUCGGAAAUCUUACUGACUGCAAUACUUUCUCAUUUUAUUGAAUUUUUGGAUGGAAUGUGAAGGGCUUCUCCAAUUGGAUGUGUCAAGUUCUAGAAAAAGCAGAUUCAAAGCAAGAGAUCUUCCCUUCUCUGUGUUCCCCUACCCUCCUAUUCCUCUUCCGGAUGCUUCUCAUCUGAAUUUUAUAUGUGAGACUGUCCUAAACAAAGUAGACAACACAUUUAUAUAAUUCGUAGAAAUACUCACCUUUAGAUUGGUCUAGCUUUUUUGAUCGAGAGGAAGAUGUCUGCAUACCAGACUCAAAUGAUGAACAGAAGGACCAGUUGUUUUUUGUCUACGUGGGGGCGGCUACGCUGGGUCUGUUUGAUCUUGAUGAUAUAUUUUCAUUUGUUCAUAUAUUUUUUUAUUUUACUUGUUUCUAAUUCAUGAAGUUUCAUCGAACUAUUACUGUAGUACUGCUAUGGUACUUUGAUAAAUUUGGUUUCUAAUUUCAUUUUUGGCAUUCCAUUUCCUUGUGUUGAAAGGACAACAAAUUUGUCUCAAUGAAUCAGAUUCCAAAGCAACCCUCUUAGUUCUUUAAAUUUGAGUAGCUACUGCUAUUUGUUUUCCAUUGGCAAAUUGAGGAAUAAAUGAGAAAUAAACUGCAUAGAUGAUAUGAAAUCUUAGUCAUAAUGUUAUUUUGGCCUGGAAAUUACAUAGAAUGGCAGCCCUUCCCCCGUUCUUUACAUGUUUGGUCAAGAUUCCAUAUCGGGUUUCAUUUUAACUAUUAAAGAUCCCCUAGGGUACAUUUCUAACUAAUUAACUUUUAAAUAUGUUAAAGAGUUCACCAAUUCCAGGCUAGUUCAGAUUGUCUUCUGCCUUUUUCCUGAAGAAAUAUAAAUGCAAUACUGAUUUGAGGAAAUAUCCUAGCAGAUAUUAUGUUUCAUUGAAACUAACCCAGAGUAUACUUUUCCUUUACUCUUCCCUUGAAAUUCAAUCUAAAAAUACUCUCUUUAUGUAGGUUUAAGAGAUCAAUAUUUGAUUUUCGAUCUUUCUGUGACUGAAUUUCUGAUAAAUGCGAGUUGUCUAACUUGCUAUGGUAGGCUCUCGUUUGCUCUGUCGGCUAGUAAAAUUAAAGAGAGAGCUUGAGUGGAUGUCAAAAUUCUUAACCAAUAAAUAAACCAACAUAAGCCAAUAAAUUGAAAACCCAAUUACCAAACACUGUUCAUUAAAAGAUUUGAUUGAUGUUUCAUAGCAUUAUCAUGGCCCAACUAAAAAAACAAAAAACAGAAAUUUCCCGCUAACCCCACUCCAUCCUACUAGAAAAAGAAACUGAAGCUUAGAAUUCUCUGCAAAUCCCAUUAAACAUGGACGAAACAAAAUCAACAACAACAAAACCAAGAAGAAAAGCCAGCAAAAGGAAACCCCUUACUGAUCUCACCAAUACAAUCCCAUCCGCUCUUUCUUCUUCACAAUCCUCCUCUGCUUCUAUCAAAACCCAAAUAAAAUCUUCGCGCCCUUCGGAUCUUAAACCCCUCCUAGCAACCCCAAUACUAGCUUUAAGCGCACCUCUAAGCUUACUGCCACUGACUCCACCAAAAAUAUAAAUAAUGAUAACAAUGACAAGAAGAAGGAAAAUGAAAAUUGUCCGAGUGACAAGGCAAAUCCCAGCUCCAAGCCGUCUCCGCCGUCAAAAACACCUUCCUUUUCGGAUUUUGAGCCUCGUACAGUUUACAGGAGACACACUGCUGAGAAAAAGAAGAGUAAAAGGAAGGAAGUUGUGGAGCCUUUGAGUAGCAUUUUUGAAACGAGGACUCCCUACUUAAGAAGCAACACCGAGACAAGGCUGAGAUAAAUGCUUCUAAGCAUGACUUGCCCCAAGAUUUCAUCAACAAAUAAAGAGCGUACUUUGCGGAGGUUGAUGCAUUUGAACUGGAAGAGGAGGUCACAUCAGGAGGGGCUGAUUAGUUUGACCUGUCGAAAGACCGUGUUAAGUUUCUGAACUUCAAGAUAUUAUCUAUUUUGAUUCGAUCAAUUUUUUCAACAUAUAUAGCAUCAGAAAUAGCCGGAAAUAAGGUGUGGUCAAGUCCUAAUAAUGUGACAAGAAAAGGGAUGGUGAAUAUUCUAAAUUUGUGUGUUGAGACAUGGAAAUGUAGCUAUUCCAUUGCUUUAGUUUCUACCAAUGAAACACUUGGUGUGUAGUUCAAAUUAUUUUUUCUUUGCACUUUCAACUCAUUGGAGCCUUAGUGAAAUCCAAAGGGCCCUGCCCCCUUGCCCAUCGUUUGAUGGGCUUUAAAGUUUCUUUUUUAAAAUCAAA